ACCUGACCUCGGCCCCGGUGGAAGUUAUCGGGUGGCAGCAGAGUUGGAAUGGGAUAGGUAGUUCCCCGUUUCCAGGACCCCAGACGGCCUGCUGGGACAGUGUAUAUGAGUCCGGAAUGGGCUGGACCAGGGUCAGGCUAGCCCAGACUUCAGGUACGGGCUGUGAUGACGAGGAGUGGGCUAGUCUCCCGGGUCGGUCACCGCUGAACUCUCAGAGACAAUCAAGCUUUCGAUGAUCAUGUGAUGAGGUUUCCAGUCAGUUCCAGGUGAAGACACCACUGGCCAUCAAGAAGCUACCCUCUCCCCACCAGACAGAGCAGGAUGAGAGUUCUAUAAUCCUCAAUAGGAGGAAGCACUCAAUUGAACAAGUGCAGGAACCAGCUGGCUGCCUCAGCACUGACAGAAGCAAAUUCCAUUUGCUUGGACCCACUGCAUUCCAUCCCUUGUGGAAGAGAGCAUGUAAGCAAGACAGGACCUUCAGGCCUCUGAAAAAAAAAGGAUCAAAGAACUGAAACUCACCAGAUCACCUCACCAGAUGCUGGACCCCUCAUUCACCAUGUUUGCUUCCUUGCCUCUCCCUAGUUCUUAUUUUCUUACACAUUGUUACAUUUCUUCCCUGCUAUAUCAACCCCUAGUUCUAGUCAGUCAUGGAGAUGGAUUUGAGACUGAUCUCCCAUCCCCUCAGCUACACCACCUGAUUAAAGCCUUCUUCCUUGGCAAUAAUCAUUGUCUCAGUCAUUGGCUUUCUGUGCAGGGAGCAGCAGGACCUAGACUAAACCCCUGGUGUUUUGGUAACAAAAUAAGGCCAGGCACAGAAAGACAAACAUCACAUGUUCACACUUAUUUGUGGGAUCUAAAUACCAGAACAAUUGAACUCAUAGAGAUAGAGAGUAGAAGGAUUAUUACCAGAGGCUGGGAAGUGUGGUUGAAGGAGUUGGUGGGCAGUGGGGAUGUAGAAUGUGUCCAAAAAAAGGAAUAGAAUGAAGAAGUCCUAGUAUUUGAUAGCACAACAGGGUGACUAUAGUCAAUAAUCAUUUAACUGUACAUUUUAAAAUAACUUAAAAGGUGUAAUUGGGUUGUUUGUAACACAAAUGAUAAAUGCUUGAAGGAAUUGCUACUCCAUUUUCCAUGAUGUGAUUAUUGUGCAUUGCAUGCCUGUAUCAAAAUGCCUCAUGUACCUCAUAAAUAUAUAUACCUACUAUGUACCCACAAAAAUUUUUUAAGAAAAUAUACCACUGCUUUUCCAUUUGUCAAGUGAAAAA
ensembl:lncRNA novel transcript